AGCAGAUCUAAUGGCAGCAUGUCAGUACUCACUUCCAUCUGAGCGCAGCUGCCAGCAGCGCUGCUGCCUGAGGACAAUGGCCGGCUACCUAGCGAAGCAGCAGUAAUUGGGAGUGACAGCCAAUGGAGGGAAGAGAGGCACAGACAUCAGAUGGUAAAGAUGGAGAGAGUGUAGAGUUAUGUAGAGACUGAAGGAAUCUGGACAUCGGUCUUCACCAGGGCGGGAUGAUUAUAGACAGUCUGGAAGGGGGGCAGGGAAGCCCUCCUGACCCACUAGCUUUGUGAGGAUGGUGUGGUAACAACCUCUUGCCUAUCCUUUGAGGUUGGGUCCUUACCGUCUGAAGAAAAAUAACAAAGCAAGGAAAGGUCAGCAGACAUGCGAGGAGAUGCCAGCAGACUCGUGGAUUGGCUUUAAGUGGUUGCUCCCCCCGAGGCCUCUUGGUCACAGCAUGAAGAGAGCAAGGGCGAUGGCAAAUGACAUCCGCUUUAUACCUUCCCUAAUCUCUUUGUCUGGUCAAAGAAAGACCUGCCAUCAAACAAGGACGAUUCAUACUCAUUUCAGCCUAGUGUAAAACAGCGCAAAAGCUGACUGUUAAGUAAGUCGAUAUGGGUAAUUUAAUUUGAUCCACAUGUUUCACAGAUUUCUAUAUUUUUCUGCUUUAAAUCUCUGAAGUGAUUUUAAUUGGCUGAUAUC